rnacentral:rRNA from 1 species
CAGUAGCCGCGGGAAUACGUAGGUGGCAAGCGUUGUCCGGAAUUAUUGGGCGUAAAGCGCGCGCAGGCGGCCUAUCCAGUCUGUCUUAAAAGUUCGGGGCUCAACCCCGUGAUGGGAUGGAAACUAGUAGGCUAGAGUAUCGGAGAGGAAAGCGGAAUUCCUAGUGUAGCAGUGAAAUGCGUAGAGAUGUGGAGGAAUACCGAUGGCGAAGGCAGCCCCCUGGGCCAAUACUGACGCUCAUGCACGAAAGCGUGGGGAGCAAACAGGAUUAGAUACCCCCGUAGUCCCUGUCUCUUAUACA